AGGGGUGUAGCUCAGUUGUAGGACAUAUGCCUUGCUUGCAGAGGGCAAUGGGUUCAAUUCCCAGCAUCUCAA